rnacentral:rRNA from 1 species
GACUACCAAGGCGAUGAACAUAGCCGACCUGAGAGGGUGAUCGGCCACAUUGGGACUGAGACACGGCCCAAACUCCUACGGGAGGCAGCAGUAGGGAAUCUUCGGCAAUGGGGGCAACCCUGACCGAGCAACGCCGCGUGAGUGAAGAAGGUUUUCGGAUCGUAAAACUCUGUUGUUAGAGAUUAUUGUCAGUGAGAGUGGAAAGUUCACUGAGUGACGGUAUCUAACCAGAAAGGGACGGCUAACUACGUGCCAGCAGCCGCGGUAAUACGUAGGUCCCAAGCGUUGUCCGGAUUUAUUGGGCGUAAAGCGAGCGCAGGUGGUUUAAUAAGUCUGAUGUAAAAGGCAGUGGCUCAACCAUUGUGUGCAUUGGAAACUGUUAGACUUGAGUGCAGUAGAGGAGAGUGGAAUUCCAUGUGUAGCGGUGAAAUGCGUAGAUAUAUGGAGGAACACCGGUGGCGAAAGCGGCUCUCUGGACUGUAACUGACACUGAGGCUCGAAAGCGUGGGUAGCAAACAGGAUUAGAUACCCUGGUAGUCCACGCCGAAAACGAUGAGUGCUAGUUGUUUGGGG